rnacentral:rRNA from 1 species
GAUGAACGCUGGCGGCGUGCCUAAUACAUGCAAGUCGAGCGAACAGAUGAGGAGCUUGCUCCUCUGACGUUAGCGGCGGACGGGUGAGUAACACGUGGAUAACCUACCUAUAAGACUGGGAUAACUUCGGGAAACCGGAGCUAAUACCGGAUAAUAUAUUGAACCGCAUGGUUCAAUAGUGAAAGACGGUUUUGCUGUAACUUAUAGAUGGAUCCGCGCCGCAUUAGCUAGUUGGUAAGGUAACGGCUUACCAAGGCAACGAUGCGUAGCCGACCUGAGAGGGUGAUCGGCCACACUGGAACUGAGACACGGUCCAGACUCCUACGGGAGGCAGCAGUAGGGAAUCUUCCGCAAUGGGCGAAAGCCUGACGGAGCAACGCCGCGUGAGUGAUGAAGGUCUUCGGAUCGUAAAACUCUGUUAUUAGGGAAGAACAAAUGUGUAAGUAACUAUGCACGUCUUGACGGUACCUAAUCAGAAAGCCACGGCUAACUACGUG